rnacentral:rRNA from 1 species
CCUACGGGAGGCAGCAGUGAGGAAUAUUGGUCAAUGGGCGGAAGCCUGAACCAGCCAAGUCGCGUGAGGGAAUAAGGCCCUACGGGUCGUAAACCUCUUUUGCCGGGGAGCAAGGGCGGGGACGUGUCCCGGCCCGGAGAGUACCCGGAGAAAAAGCAUCGGCUAACUCCGUGCCAGCAGCCGCGGUAAUACGGAGGAUUCAAGCGUUAUCCGGAUUUAUUGGGUUUAAAGGGUGCGUAGGCGGUUCGAUAAGUUAGAGGUGAAAUCCCGGGGCUCAACUCCGGCACUGCCUCUGAUACUGUCGGGCUAGAGUUUAGUUGCGGUAGGCGGAAUGUAUGGUGUAGCGGUGAAAUGCAUAGAGAUCAUACAGAACACCGAUUGCGAAGGCAGCUUACCAAACUACGACUGACGUUGAGGCACGAAAGCGUGGGGAGCAAACAGGAUUAGAUACCCUUGUAGUC